GCCGGGGUGGCGGAAUGGUAGACGCGGCGGUCUCAAACACCGUUGGGGUUUCCCAUGAGGGUUCGAGUCCCUCCCCCGGCACCA
rnacentral:tRNA from 2 species